rnacentral:rRNA from 2 species
UUAAGCGACUAAGCGUACACGGUGGAUGCCCUGGCAGUCAGAGGCGAUGAAGGACGUGCUAAUCUGCGAUAAGCGUCGGUAAGGUGAUAUGAACCGUUAUAACCGGCGAUUUCCGAAUGGGGAAACCCAGUGUGUUUCGACACACUAUCAUUAACUGAAUCCAUAGGUUAAUGAGGCGAACCGGGGGAACUGAAACAUCUAAGUACCCCGAGGAAAAGAAAUCAACCGAGAUUCCCCCAGUAGCGGCGAGCGAACGGGGAGCAGCCCAGAGCCUGAAUCAGUGUGUGUGUUAGUGGAAGCGUCUGGAAAGGCGCGCGAUACAGGGUGACAGCCCCGUACACAAAAAUGCACAUGCUGUGAGCUCGAUGAGUAGGGCGGGACACGUGGUAUCCUGUCUGAAUAUGGGGGGACCAUCCUCCAAGGCUAAAUACUCCUGACUGACCGAUAGUGAACCAGUACCGUGAGGGAAAGGCGAAAAGAACCCCGGCGAGGGGAGUGAAAAAGAACCUGAAACCGUGUACGUACAAGCAGUGGGAGCACGCUUAGGCGUGUGACUGCGUACCUUUUGUAUAAUGGGUCAGCGACUUAUAUUCUGUAGCAAGGUUAACCGAAUAGGGGAGCCGAAGGGAAACCGAGUCUUAACUGGGCGUUAAGUUGCAGGGUAUAGACCCGAAACCCGGUGAUCUAGCCAUGGGCAGGUUGAAGGUUGGGUAACACUAACUGGAGGACCGAACCGACUAAUGUUGAAAAAUUAGCGGAUGACUUGUGGCUGGGGGUGAAAGGCCAAUCAAACCGGGAGAUAGCUGGUUCUCCCCGAAAGCUAUUUAGGUAGCGCCUCGUGAAUUCAUCUCCGGGGGUAGAGCACUGUUUCGGCAAGGGGGUCAUCCCGACUUACCAACCCGAUGCAAACUGCGAAUACCGGAGAAUGUUAUCACGGGAGACACACGGCGGGUGCUAACGUCCGUCGUGAAGAGGGAAACAACCCAGACCGCCAGCUAAGGUCCCAAAGUCAUGGUUAAGUGGGAAACGAUGUGGGAAGGCCCAGACAGCCAGGAUGUUGGCUUAGAAGCAGCCAUCAUUUAAAGAAAGCGUAAUAGCUCACUGGUCGAGUCGGCCUGCGCGGAAGAUGUAACGGGGCUAAACCAUGCACCGAAGCUGCGGCAGCGACGCUGAUGCGUUGUUGGGUAGGGGAGCGUUCUGUAAGCCUGUGAAGGUGUGCUGUGAGGCAUGCUGGAGGUAUCAGAAGUGCGAAUGCUGACAUAAGUAACGAUAAAGCGGGUGAAAAGCCCGCUCGCCGGAAGACCAAGGGUUCCUGUCCAACGUUAAUCGGGGCAGGGUGAGUCGACCCCUAAGGCGAGGCCGAAAGGCGUAGUCGAUGGGAAACAGGUUAAUAUUCCUGUACUUGGUGUUACUGCGAAGGGGGGACGGAGAAGGCUAUGUUGGCCGGGCGACGGUUGUCCCGGUUUAAGCGUGUAGGCUGGUUUUCCAGGCAAAUCCGGAAAAUCAAGGCUGAGGCGUGAUGACGAGGCACUACGGUGCUGAAGCAACAAAUGCCCUGCUUCCAGGAAAAGCCUCUAAGCAUCAGGUAACAUCAAAUCGUACCCCAAACCGACACAGGUGGUCAGGUAGAGAAUACCAAGGCGCUUGAGAGAACUCGGGUGAAGGAACUAGGCAAAAUGGUGCCGUAACUUCGGGAGAAGGCACGCUGAUAUGUAGGUGAAGUCCCUCGCGGAUGGAGCUGAAAUCAGUCGAAGAUACCAGCUGGCUGCAACUGUUUAUUAAAAACACAGCACUGUGCAAACACGAAAGUGGACGUAUACGGUGUGACGCCUGCCCGGUGCCGGAAGGUUAAUUGAUGGGGUUAGCCGCAAGGCGAAGCUCUUGAUCGAAGCCCCGGUAAACGGCGGCCGUAACUAUAACGGUCCUAAGGUAGCGAAAUUCCUUGUCGGGUAAGUUCCGACCUGCACGAAUGGCGUAAUGAUGGCCAGGCUGUCUCCACCCGAGACUCAGUGAAAUUGAACUCGCUGUGAAGAUGCAGUGUACCCGCGGCAAGACGGAAAGACCCCGUGAACCUUUACUAUAGCUUGACACUGAACAUUGAGCCUUGAUGUGUAGGAUAGGUGGGAGGCUUUGAAGUGUGGACGCCAGUCUGCAUGGAGCCGACCUUGAAAUACCACCCUUUAAUGUUUGAUGUUCUAACGUUGACCCGUAAUCCGGGUUGCGGACAGUGUCUGGUGGGUAGUUUGACUGGGGCGGUCUCCUCCUAAAGAGUAACGGAGGAGCACGAAGGUUGGCUAAUCCUGGUCGGACAUCAGGAGGUUAGUGCAAUGGCAUAAGCCAGCUUGACUGCGAGCGUGACGGCGCGAGCAGGUGCGAAAGCAGGUCAUAGUGAUCCGGUGGUUCUGAAUGGAAGGGCCAUCGCUCAACGGAUAAAAGGUACUCCGGGGAUAACAGGCUGAUACCGCCCAAGAGUUCAUAUCGACGGCGGUGUUUGGCACCUCGAUGUCGGCUCAUCACAUCCUGGGGCUGAAGUAGGUCCCAAGGGUAUGGCUGUUCGCCAUUUAAAGUGGUACGCGAGCUGGGUUUAGAACGUCGUGAGACAGUUCGGUCCCUAUCUGCCGUGGGCGCUGGAGAACUGAGGGGGGCUGCUCCUAGUACGAGAGGACCGGAGUGGACGCAUCACUGGUGUUCGGGUUGUCAUGCCAAUGGCACUGCCCGGUAGCUAAAUGCGGAAGAGAUAAGUGCUGAAAGCAUCUAAGCACGAAACUUGCCCCGAGAUGAGUUCUCCCUGACCCUUUAAGGGUCCUGAAGGAACGUUGAAGACGACGACGUUGAUAGGCCGGGUGUGUAAGCGCAGCGAUGCGUUGAGCUAACCGGUACUAAUGAACCGUGAGGCUUAACCUU